ACUGUUUCCUCCUACUAAAGGUUAUAAACGUCAACAUAAAGACUGUUUCCUCCUACUAAAGGUUAUGAACGUCAACAUAAAGACUGUUUCCUCCUACUAAAGGUUAUAAACGUCAACAUAAAGACUGUUUCCUCCUACUAAAGGUUAUAAACGUCAACAUAAAGACUGUUUCCUCCUACUAAAGGUUAUAAACGUCAACAUAAAGACUGUUUCUAAAGGUUAUAAACGUCAACAUAAAGACUGUUUCCUCCUACUAAAGGUUAUAAACGUCAACAUAAAGACUGUUUCUAAAGGUUAUAAACGUCAACAUAAAGACUGUUUCCUCCUACUAAAGGUUAUAAACGUCAACAUAAAGACUGUUUCCUCCUACUAAAGGUUAUAAACGUCAACAUAAAGACUGUUUCCUCCUACUAAAGGUUAUAAACGUCAACAUAAAGACUGUUUCCUCCUACUAAAGGUUAUAAACGUCAACAUAAAGACUGUUUCCUCCUACUAAAGGUUAUAAACGUCAACAUAAAGACUGUUUCUAAAGGUUAUAAACGUCAACAUAAAGACUGUUUCCUCCUACUAAAGGUUAUAAACGUCAACAUAAAGACUGUUUCCUCCUACUAAAGGUUAUAAACGUCAACAUAAAGACUGUUUCCUCCUACUAAAGGUUAUAAACGUCAACAUAAAGACUGUUUCCUCCUACUAAAGGUUAUAAACGUCAACAUAAAGACUGUUUCCUCCUACUAAAGGUUAUAAACGUCAACAUAAAGACUGUUUCCUCCUACUAAAGGUUAUAAACGUCAACAUAAAGACUGUUUCCUCCUACUAAAGGUUAUAAACGUCAACAUAAAGACUGUUUCCUCCUACUAAAGGUUAUAAACGUCAACAUAAAGACUGUUUCCUCCUACUAAAGGGUAUAAACG